GACGGGGCCCGCACAAGCGGUGGAGCAUGUGGUUUAAUUCGAAGCAACGCGAAGAACCUUACCAGGCCUUGACAUGCAGAGAACUUUCCAGAGAUGGAUUGGUGCCCUUCGGGAACUCUGACACAGGUGCUGCAUGGUUGUCGUCAGCUCGUGUCGUGAGAUGUUGGGUUAAGUCCCGCAACGAGCGCAACCCUUGUGUUUUAGUUGCAAACAGGUCAAGCUGUGCACUCUAGACAGACUGCCGUGGACAACACGGAGGAAGGUGGGGAUGACGUCAAAUCAUCAUGCCCCUUAUGAUCUGGGCUACACACGUGCUACAAUGGCCGGUACAACGGGCAGCGAAGGAGCGAUCCGGAGCGAAUCCUAAAAAGCCGGUCCCAGUUCGGAUUGCAGGCUGAAACUCGCCUACAUGAAGUUGGAGUUGCUAGUAAUCGCGAAUCAGAAUGUCGCGGUGAAUGCGUUCCCGGGUCUU
rnacentral:rRNA from 1 species